rnacentral:rRNA from 1 species
UACGAAGGGUGCAAGCGUUACUCGGAAUCACUGGGCGUAAAGCGUGCGUAGGCGGUUCGUUAAGUCUGCUGUGAAAGCCCUGGGCUCAACCUGGGAACUGCAGUGGAUACUGGCGGACUAGAGUGUGAUAGAGGAUGGUGGAAUUCCUGGUGUAGCGGUGAAAUGCGCAGAUAUCAGGAGGAACACCAAUGGCGAAGGCAGCUCGCUGGGACGGUACUGACGCUGAGACGCGAAAGCGUGGGGAGCAAACAGG